GGCGUUUCUCUUCAUUUUACUAUGGUUUUGAUUCUCAUUGAAUGAUCUUAUAUCUCAAAGGAAAGCCAAACGAGAUGAGACUGUAGCCAAUUUCAGGAAAACAGAGAAUCUUGUACCAGAGGAUCUUCUAAGGUGAGCAUUCAACAUUAUCCCAGUAACAACAGAAACUAAGCUGCAGAAAUACAGUGUGGGUACGUACUUUUUUUUCUCUUUUGAAGAGCAGUCGGGCUUUACCGGAAUGAUCCGCAAGCCUCUGACCAUUGAUUUAAGUGUCUCCAUUGUUCAGGAGAGCUUUCGUCAAGAUGAGCACAUCACCAGAGGCCUUCCUUUUCUUGAAAUUGGCUACAGUCUCAUCUCGUUUGGCUUUCCUUUGAGAUAUAAGAUCAUUCAAUGAGAAUCAAAACCAUAGUAAAAUGAAGAGAAACGCCA
rnacentral:lncRNA from 1 species